UCUCCAUAUUAUAAUUUAAAUAUUACAAAUCAUCAUAAUAAAGCACCGCUAACCUUUCAUGUUCCUUCCAGUUUUUUUUUAUACCUACAUACUCUUUUAAAAUGUAUAUUUAUUUGACCUAGUGUAUACUAAAAUCUUAUGUUUAAUGAUAUAUUAGCAAAUAAAAUCAAAAUGCGCGAGCUUAAAGAAUAUCCACUGAAUGCGUUUGUUCUUCGUUAUUUGCCUAACAAUGAUAAAGAAUACUUAAGAACAACAUCAGCAUUUUGUAAACACUACAGCAUUAAGUCCUUCCUUUAAAGAUUGAUGAAAAAAUAAACAAAAGUUGUGCAAAAAAGAACCUUUUGGAAGUCUUGGAAUUUAGAAGAAAGUCCUUUGCAGGUAUCCUAUAUAUAUACGCAAGUUAAGUGUUAACUAUCAAUUUCUACUAUAAUAUUAUGUAUUUAGUCCAUAAUUAAAAAACUAAAUUAAAUCAACUGUUAUUUUAUUUUAUUUUUUAGAUAAACAUAUAGCCUCAUAUGAAUAUUGUACGAAUUAAAUUAUAUUGACAUAUUACACUAAUAAAUAAAUUAUAUUAUUAUAUAACUUAACUACAUAAGAAUGAUCUAAAUGCAUUUAUAAUAAUACUAAAUAUAAAAUAGAGAAUAUAAUGUGCUAUGAAUUUGUAAA